rnacentral:lncRNA from 1 species
ACAAGUUGGCUGUAAAAAUUCCCUUUGCACUUAAUUCUGGCAGAGAUGAAAAAGCCCCAGGAGCACAUUAAAAAAAAAAAAAAAUCAACAUGUACAUAUUAGAUUUUAACACUUUCCAAGAAAUGAAUACUUCAGUGUUAAUGCAGACAUUGUAUGACCAGGCAAAGAUCUAAACAAAUGGGUUCAGUCAGGAAGGGAAUCCUUUACUGAAAUAAGUCACCUUGGAGUGCCCUGCACACCAGUGCUGCACAUAUGGAAAUGUCACUCUGAGUGCCACCAGAGGAAUAAGAACAAAAGUGCUCUGGAAAAAAACAUUACACUAUAAUGAUAAAAUGCAAACCAUCCUGUUAUUGGGGGAUACAUCCUGUCUGUCUCACGAAGAAGCUUAGUUUAAUGUUUGAAGGUUUCACUGGAGUAGAGGAAGGAUUUUUUUAAAAUCUGUCUCAAGUAUUUAUCUCACCUUCAUCCUCAUCUGAGCCCCUUGUAAUCACCACCACAUUUAGCUUUCCUGGUGCAUUACUGCCGUUUAUUUUCAUUUCAGAAACAGAACAGUGAUACGGAGAGAGGUUAAAUGAUUUGCCCAAGGUCACAGAGGACAAGCCUCUGCUCUGGGAAAGGCACUCGCCCAUGUCUGGGAUCCACCCCAGCAGACUGUCCAUCCCCUCAUGGCUUGCUAAGGGGACACACACAAGGAGUGCUGCUUCCUCCAGUGACACCAAGCAGGACAUGCACUAAGCUGGGACACCCCAGGCCCAGCUCUGAGUGAACAACAGUGUCAGUCUGCCAAGGAAAGGACCAAAUUCUGUGGAACAGAACAGGCCCAAGAAGCGCAAAAGGAAUUUACAAAGCAAGAUUUUGGUAAUAUGCUCCAUUGGCUUUUGAUAAUAAAAACCACAUUGUAAAUGGCCAAGAAAUUAAUCUUUAAAAGGCAGCUGUAGCCCAUGUGUAUUAACUAUUUUUCAAAGACAUUUCCUCUGGAUUUUUGUUACCUUCUUUAAUACAUGUUUCCAGCCAGCAGAGAUGUUAUGCUCUGUGGGUGAAACAUAAUAUGCAUUUUUAAAACAUUUAUAAAUAUGUAUACACCCUAUGGAUUCACAUGGCACUGUAGGAGCUGUGUUCUGGUCUGCAGUCUUUAAAAAUUAAUUACAAAUAUACCAAGGUGUAUAUUCAACACAAUGCAUGGGGAUUUAGUCACAUAAAUUUCAUUAAGGCUGAUGAGAGGUGUGCAGUUAAAGCCCUGCAUAUCAAGACAUCAUGCAUAAAGAAAAGCCUGUCUAAUUAUGUAUUUACUUAUUAAACCAGAACAGCUCUGAAGGGCAUGCAUGUUUAUCUAAUUUUAUUUAUUCCUUUUCAAAACAAAUGAAAUGCACACAUGAGCACACAUGUGUGCACACACACCUUAUAUUCUGCAGAAUAUGGAAUUUUAAAAUUUAAUAUGUUAAUAUGUUGAAAAAUCAAUUAAAAUUAUUCUUCAGCUAUUGUUAUUUUUUGUAACAAGCAAGAUUAAAACAUCCCUUGAGGUCACAAACUAGGAAUGUGUAAAUAACCUGACUAUGUGGAAUGUCAUUUUCGUGGUAUUAAAGGCAUUUGUGGCACAUUUUAGUAGAGUUGCAAUUAUGACACACAGUACUCAAAACUGGGAAAUUCUCAGUUCCCCUACCUGGUUUCCUCAGGUCAUCCUUUUAUCAUCAUAAAACUUCUUUCCUCUUCUUAACAGUGGGGCAUGUAGAUGGCACAUAGCCUGCAUUAAGGUAAAGCCUUGGGUUUAGCACAUGCACGUGGGUAAAAACUGGGUAUUUUGCAUGAAUGUUGCUGAUUUCUGAACAUGAAGGAAUGAGUUUCAUACAACUGUUUAGUUUCUUCUCUAGAUUACUGAAUGGCUCCAACAUGUGCUUGCUACCAAGUUCAGGAUCCGAAGAUGUUGCUCCAAUGUCUCUUCUGAACACUUUGAUGCCAUCUACUAGAUCAUUGUGUUAGGGGCCAAGUUAAGGCCAGCAGGGUAAAGGCAAUUUAUAACCCACAUAGUGACAUCAGUCUAACCUAGCAACCUCCCUAGCAACACUGCCAAAGCAUCACAAUGUGGCCCCCAUAGCUCAGAUGAUAUGAAGAUAGCAGCAUUGUUAGGGUGGGAGGUUGCCACUUUGGCCUAGCAACAAAUAACAGCCUGACCUUGGGAUCUAUUGAAAGCUGAGAAGCCAAGCAGAACAGAGGGAGAACCAUCAAAUGAAAGCCCAAGGGUUCCUGUCUAUUUAUUUUAUGUAACCUAAACAAAUUCUUCAGAGAAAAAUAUGGCAGUGCUUCCAGACUGCAUGCUUAUAUAUUCAACAUUGCUUUUCAACAUGGCUUGUUAAGAGAUUUUAGAUUGUGAUUUGGAAAUCACAAAACCUGUGUGCAGAGAAAGGAUGAAUAAAGAAACCACUACAGCCAGUUCAGAGUGGUGACAAACAGGCUGCAUGUUGCUGCAAAAGUGUGCUGAUGUGAGGGUUCCCACCCCCAGGUAUCACAUGGGGUGAUCUGGGAACCAGCCACACACACACUGGGCUUUGGGCUCACCCAAGAAAUCCAGCUAUUACCAGCUUAUUUGCAGCAUUUUGUCACUGAAAAUAAUGAAAUGGAUAUAAAUCACAUCCUCCCCAUCUCUUUCUUCUAGCUGCCCAUUCAAAUAAGCCCCUUGUCCACGCCAUUGUGCCAGCUCUGCACAGGCAGCUGCUGAAGCAAGGUAACACUUCUCUCUCCCAGAUACACAUCAAGAGCAGGGCAUCCUCUAAAGACACCCUGAGGAGCUGGACCUGAUCUGCUUGAUGUUUCUAGUUUCUAGCAAUGACCCCAUACUCCUGGUGUUUGUAAGUGAGUACCACAUACAGCAUCUUGACAGUGACUCAAAGACAACUGAGAGAAACAAAUGGCAAGUACGGAAAAAGCAAGUGAUGCAUUUGUUUCUGUACUGGUGGCCCUGAGCCAGGGUGUGGUGCUGGAGGUUGCCUGAUGCUGAGCUUACAGACACCAUUUGGCUUUAAGAAAAUAUAAACCAAUAUUAGCCCAACAGUUCCUAGAAGAAUCAUAACCCUUGGAAUUUCAAAGCUAUCCUGUACAGUGACAAUUUCUAAGACAAACUAGUGGGGUUAAUUCACCUCCCCCUUCCAGUUUACUGGCUUUAAGCUACAGCUGGCGAGUGCAGAGAAGCUCAAAUUGCAGCUGCCUUCACCCUCUUUAGCUGUCAAAUAAACAGAUGACUUUGGUUUGCAGCAAUGGAACAUUGAAUAUAUAUUUUCAAAAAUGCAAUUUCUUUUGAAAUUUGAAUGAAACAUGCUUUCACAUAUGUGUAGUUUUGCAUGUGGGUGUAUGAAUACACAUUUUUAUAUAAGUACAUUUUAAAGUAGGUAUUUUUAAACAAAAAUUUAAUUCCUUCAAUUUUUGUACAUUAUAUAACACUUCGUAUAACUUUCAGUUUAUAACUUCUCUUGAGAGAAGAGCCACAAGCCACAGAUAGUCAAUUGUCUACUUGCAGCAGCCUUUUACAAAGGGACUGAUGGAGCUGAACUGGACAUGGUCUGUCUGUCCUGCUGUCACUGCUGCAGUAACCAUAAUUGUCGUGUGGGUAGCAUGAAGUCAGGGACAAUUUAUCUUAUAAAACCUUAGUGCAAGUUUCAUCACAAAGCACAGCAUCUGCUCAUUAGCUCAGUUUCUGUUUCCAGCCAAGUCUGUGACACAUUCAAAGGCAUUGUAUGAAGUGUGUGAAAGUUUACUCCUUUGGAUCUUUCUUAAAUUACAAGCUUUAAGUAUAUUGAAAAAUAGAGAGUAGAGGGAGAAACCUCUUGUAUUAGUGCCACUUUCUCCAUUCCACACUUUUUCAAACAAACCAGCUGAAGCUUUUUUAACUGCUUGGCUUUCCCAUAACAGCCCUUGCUGGAAUUGUGUGUGGUGAAGAAUGGUGAAGAAGAGGCUGCAGUGGUAUCCAAACAGGUGUGCCUACCUCCCUAUAAUGCAGAU